AACAAUUGAAUUAUUUUAUUUGAAUUAUUUAUUUAUUUAUUUAUUUUGUUAACUGUGGCUUAAAUUCUUCAGCUAGUUGCAAAUCAUACCCUGUAAUUUAUGGAAAAAAAUUGUAGCUCUUGUUUUAAUAUGAUAACUAGUUGAAUAAUUCACGAAUCCAUUAUGUGUCGAGAAAAUUUAGUAAUUUGGGUGUAGAUAAAUUAUUAAUUAACAUAAUCAAUUAAAUAGCAUAAAUAUAAUUCAAAAAUAAUAUAUACAUAAGAUAUCAUAACAUUAUAAUUCAAUAAUAUGAAGAGAAUUAGAAUGCAAGACUUGGGAAUCAGUCAAAGAUGUUAUCUUAAAAUCGUGUCGCCUCCCUUUUUGCAGAUAAUUUUGACGCUAUACGGCUCCGAAAUAAAAUCUAUAUGCCUCACAGCCGAUUUUUCUUCUAUGGGCACGGCCAUAGGAAGAUAAGUGAACGAACCUUUAUCGAGUUGCUAAAAUUACAUAAAAUAAUAUAGAAGUGUAGAGUGUAUUCUAUCAAUUAUCCUUUUUAUGUUAUAUUUAAAGCUACGAAAAUCACUCUCUUUUAUAGGAAUAAAUAUAAACCCCACAUUCAUGAAAAUAAAUUCAAUUUUUGUAUAAGUUAUAAUCUAUUAACCAUGAGUUUCAAAAUUGUAUUAAAAUGUAAAUUGAAAACUAGAUGUAGUUGUCUUUGAAUUUCAACCUUAUUUAGUGCUAACAAUUUCAAUUUGAAGGAACAAAAAUGGAUUAAGCCUCGAAUUAGGUCCCUUUAGCUAAAUUUCAAUUGUUCCACAUAUAAUAUCGAUUUAGGUUCUAACUCAUAGCAGGUAUCCCUCUUAAUGGUCAUGCGCUCUAAUCUUGAUUCUAGUAAGAGUUUCUAGGGAAUAAUCCAAUCUCAUAGUCAUGGUCUCAUGACAAUUUUUACAUAAGUGAGUCCUCCAAAGAUGCAUGUGACCCACACCUCAUUAGAAUUCUCGCCUCAAUACUAAUUAUGAGUUAAACAUUUCCUAACAGCACAUUUAUUAGCACAAUCACCAUAGGAAUGAACAUAAAUAAUAUAGUUUUAUUACAAGUUACCCAGUAUGGGCUGUUUCUACCACGUUGAAAUUUUUCAUGGAAUCUCCAAUCAUAAAUGUUGGUUUACUCACGGAGGUGACCCCCUUGUGCGUUUAAGCUCAUCUCCCUCGAUGAUUUAUGCAUGUCCAUCUCGGAUUACAUUUAUUCACAUCGCUCUUGGACAGUAAAUUGGUACCAUUAAUUUGCAAUUUUUUCUUCUUCACCUGCACAUCUGCACAUUUGCAAAUUCGCAAAUUCGCCUAAGAAUUUUUCCAAAAUGUCAAUAACAUAUAUAAUUAUAAUAAGACAACUUCAUGAAAUUUCUGAUAUUGGCUUCUAGUAACACGUUUGGGAAGAUGCAUCUAAUGAGCUCUUAUCUCGGAUUACAUUUAUUCACAUCGCUCUUGGACAGUAAAUUGGUACCAUUAAUUUGCAAUUUUUUCUUCUUCACCUGCACAUCUGCACAUUUGCAAAUUCGCAAAUUCGCCUAAGAAUUUUUCCAAAAUGUCAAUAACAUAUAUAAUUAUAAUAAGACAACUUCAUGAAAUUUCUGAUAUUGGCUUCUAGUAACACGUUUGGGAAGAUGCAUCUAAUGAGCUCUUGCAUUUUACUUGUAAUUCUCAAUUUCAUUUUUUAAGCACUUUUCAAGAGUUAGUUUACAACUAGGAAAAAGAAAAUAUAAGGUGUAUUUAUGUUAAAUAGCUCUACAUUCCAAAGAUACCCAUCAUGUGGAACUUCUUUGAAAAUUUCCAUGCCUCCAAGUACUCUUAAAAACUUUCACAAAAUAUUAGUGUCACAAAAAAUAAGAAUAAUUUAGAUAGAUAAAAGUAUGACAUUUAGAUAUUCGUCCAACUUUUCCUUAAGCAUUGACCAAAGAAAAGAGAACUCUAUUAAAUAGUUUAAUACCCCCAUAUUUCAAAGAUAUCCAACUUGAAUUGAGUAAGUAUAUGAUCUUAUAGUUUAUUUCUUUUGAUGUGGGGAUAGUUGAUACACAUGUUUCCCACCAUUCUAUGAUUUUCAUCCACCAAUAGAUCCACAAUUCUUAUUAAACACAUUAGCAAAAUAUUAUUAUAACCAAAUAAUUGGUUAUGUUUAGAAUGCCUACCGAAAUAGGAGUACCACUGAAUAUGAAUGAGAUUAAAACAAUACCACAAAUCAAAUUCACAAAACAAAACAUUUUUAGAGCAGCUUGUUUUAUCAAUGAUGAAAUGAGAACAAAGUUUCUUCCAGCCAAGCCGAGGAGUGUUCAUAAAUUGUUAGCUGCAGGAUGGACAACUUAUUGAACCAGAUAAAAGGCGGUUGGAGGGAGAGAGUGAAUCCUAUUUCCUCUCAAUUUAUCUUCACAAUCCUUUCAUAUCGCUUAUCUUGUUUCCGAUAAAGAUAGGUUGAAAAGAUUCUAUGUUCUUAGUUAAAUUUGAAACGCUAAACAUUGCUCCAAAUAAUGAAAUUGUUUUUUUUUUUUUUUGGGUAAAUAGUUUGUUUGUUUGCAAAAACUGUAACAAACGAAAAGUGCUCAAAUUUUUAAGCAUAUCAAAAAAUGAAGUCAAUGAAAACUCCAUCUGAAUAAAAGAGAAACAAAACUUGGCCAUUUAAUUCAUUUCAUCUGCAAUGCUUUGUCAGUGUUUACAAAAGAAUAUCCAAAUAAUUCAUGGCUGCACAAAAGAAAACUGCACAAUCAUUUAUCUCAAUGUGCGUCUUUCACAACUUCUUGUAUUAGAUAUGCUUUCAGACUUCUUAUUUUCCAUUCAUUUAACUAGUUUGUUUUUUAUUUUCUCUAUUUCCAUUUGUGACAAAAUCCACCAUGACAUCAUUAUAUCAAGUCAAAAUGCUCAAAGUUAGUAAUGAGUAGUAACAUGAAUUUUGGUAGUUACAUAGUCCCAUUAUUAGUAUUUUUAAUCAAUAAAAUUAUUAAGAUUGAUAAAAUAGCAUGAAAAGAAGUAAAUGAUACAUAAAAAGUACUCUAAAUGAAACCUCAAAUUAAAACUCCAAAACAAAGAGAGCAUAAAUGUUAUAAUAAUAGUGGCUAGCAAGUUUGGAAUUGGAUGCUUUUGUUGAAGUGGAAUUAAAAAAAAAAAAAAAAAUUAAAAAGGAACACGGUUUUUGUACAAAGAUUUUUCAGCCAAGCUGUAAGGAAUAUAGCAUAUUGUGUUGAAAAGUAGUUCUAAUUGUCAAGCCGCUUUUGGGUUUUAAAGAAUUCUUUUCCAUGUCUGCUUUUUGUGGUUUUGGUCGAUUUUUAUUAUUAUUAUUAUUAUUUUUCCAACUAGAAACAUGCUUUUAUGUCAUUAGAUCAUUAUUUCUUUUGCACUCUCUACCAUUGUAAGAUAAAUAUGGAAGCUAAAGGAAAAGACUAUUAACAUUAAGUUCAUCAGAAAACUAAAUCCGGGUGUAUCGAAGAAGAAAAGUACAUUUUCAUCAUAAAACUAAAUAUGGGUGUAUCAAAGAAGGAAGGUACAUUUAUUGACUAAAGAUCAUACUUACGAUUUAUCUAAGAGAAAAGUUUAUUUAUACACAAAGCACACAUUAAUCAAUCAUCACAUGAAACAAUUCACCGUUUAAAUAUUACCAUAAAAUCAUCUACACACAAAUCACAGAACACGAUUUUAGAUUGUUGAGAAAAUUGGGUGAUUUGUGUGUAGAUAAAUUAUUAAUUAACAUAAUUAAUUAAAUAAUAUAAACAUAUUUCAAAAAUAAUAUGUACAUAAGAAUAUGAUAACAUUAUAAUUCAAUAGUAUGAAAAGAGUUAAAAUGCAAGUCUUGGGAGUCAUGUCGAAAAUGCUGUCCUAAAUUCGUGUUGUCUCCUCCUCGUGUGGGUACUUUCGGUGCUACAUGGCUUCAAGAUAAAAUACAUGUGGUUCACAGUCGGCUCUCCUUCUAUGUGCACGACCAUAAGGAAAUAAGUGAAUGAACCUUUAUCGAGUUGCAAAAACUAUAUAAAAUAAUAUAAAAGUGUAGAUUGUAUUCUAUCAAUUUAUCCUUUUUAUGUUAUAUUUAAAGCCAUGAAAAUCACUCCCUUUUAUAGGGACAAAUAUAACCCCCACAUUAAUGAAAAUAAUAAGUUAUAAUCCAUUAAUCAUAAGUUUCAAAUUUUUAUUAAAAUGUAAAUUGAAAAUUAAAAAUUAAAAUUACGUUUAAUUUUGAAAUUUAAAACUUAUUAUUAUUUAUGUCGCAUUUUAUGUUUACAUAUUGUUGGGUUUUAGAGAUUUUGAAGAAUAUGAGAUUUGCAAAUCUGGGUCAUAGUUCACAGAGCAUAGAGAUAUUAGAGAUGUUACACUUUUGUUAUUGAUCAAUGAAUCAUAUUAUUUUGAAAAUUUAUG
rnacentral:lncRNA from 1 species